GACGAACGCUGGCGGCGUGCUUAACACAUGCAAGUCGAACGGUAAGGCCCUUCGGGGUACACGAGUGGCGAACGGGUGAGUAACACGUGGGUGAUCUGCCCUGCACUUCGGGAUAAGCCUGGGAAACUGGGUCUAAUACCGGAUAGGACCACUGCCUGCAUGGGUGGUGGUGGAAAGCUUUUGCGGUGUGGGAUGGGCCCGCGGCCUAUCAGCUUGUUGGUGGGGUGAUGGCCUACCAAGGCGACGACGGGUAGCCGGCCUGAGAGGGUGACCGGCCACACCGGGACUGAGAUACGGCCCAGACUCCUACGGGAGGCAGCAGUGGGGAAUAUUGCCCAAUGGGCGCAAUCCUGAUGCAGCGACGCCGCGUGAGGGAUGACGGCCUUCGGGUUGUAAACCUCUUUCAGCACCGACGAAGCGCAAGUGACGGUAGGUGCAGAAGAAGGACCGGCCAACUACGUGCCAGCCGCCGCGGUAA
rnacentral:rRNA from 1 species